rnacentral:rRNA from 1 species
CUCCUCGGGUGACGAGUGGCGGACGGGUGAGUAAUGUCUGGGAAACUGCCCGAUGGAGGGGGAUAACUACUGGAAACGGUAGCUAAUACCGCAUAACGUCGCAAGACCAAAGUGGGGGACCUUCGGGCCUCACACCAUCGGAUGUGCCCAGAUGGGAUUAGCUAGUAGGUGGGGUAACGGCUCACCUAGGCGACGAUCCCUAGCUGGUCUGAGAGGAUGACCAGCCACACUGGAACUGAGACACGGUCCAGACUCCUACGGGAGGCAGCAGUGGGGAAUAUUGCACAAUGGGCGCAAGCCUGAUGCAGCCAUGCCGCGUGUAUGAAGAAGGCCUUCGGGUUGUAAAGUACUUUCAGCGGGGAGGAAGGCGAUGCGGUUAAUAACCGCGUCGAUUGACGUUACCCGCAGAAGAAGCACCGGCUAACUCCGUGCCAGCAGCCGCGGUAAUACGGAGGGUGCAAGCGUUAAUCGGAAUUACUGGGCGUAAAGCGCACGCAGGCGGUCUGUCAAGUCGGAUGUGAAAUCCCCGGGCUUAACCUGGGAACUGCAUUCGAAACUGGCAGGCUAGAGUCUUGUAGAGGGGGGUAGAAUUCCAGGUGUAGCGGUGAAAUGCGUAGAGAUCUGGAGGAAUACCGGUGGCGAAGGCGGCCCCCUGGACAAAGACUGACGCUCAGGUGCGAAAGCGUGGGGAGCAAACAGGAUU